GCAGUGGUGGUUCAAUGGUAGAAUUUCCGUCUUCCAUACAGGAGUCCUGGGUUUGAUUCCCAGCCAGUACG
rnacentral:tRNA from 1 species